rnacentral:lncRNA from 1 species
GGAACAUUCAGGAGAUGGCGCCCCAGUGGAGGAAGUGUUGACGUUACCAAGUAAAUACCUGUUGCUUACACUGCUGCCUCCACUUUUCAGGGUGAGCCCCCUACAACCUUGGUUAGGGAUAAAGCUUUGCAGAGCUAUCUAUCUCAGCCUCUGCACUUACCUAGCCCAUCUGGUUCCUCUAGAUCUCCCCAAGCAAGGAUUCAAUGAAAUGGAUGAAGCUCCUGGGUUGCCAUGGAGAUGCAAGGAUACAUCUAACUGGAAACCAGGAGCCAAGCUGGAGACUUUGCUCUACAAUCAUUUCCUUUCCCGGCUCAUUUUCUAAUCCAAACAUUUGAGGGGGAGGUAUCUGGGUCCUUAUUUAAGCCAUCAACUGGAAAGCAGUCACCGUCCCCGACACCUCAGCAAAGCACAGAGAUUUCCGCAGCCAUAAUAAAGGUCAGGAGAGGAAGAGACAGAGUUAUCUAAAUCCACAGCUAUAUCCAGGGUCAUGAAGAAUGGCAGAUUGAGUCUUGAGAAGCCAGUGGAGAACAAGAUGAAGGCAACACGUGUGCUGUUAUUUCUUCUUUCCUCCAUCCCUCUUCCUUUCCUGUUACAACAACAACAGUAAUCACAGCAAGUAAAAACAGCAAGCCUGUGACCCCUCUGAACCGAUGGUAUCCAUCCCUCAACAGACGCUCCUCCCAC